AAUGAACGUUGGCGGCAUGGAUUAGGCAUGCAAGUCGAGCGAGAAGUGUAGCAAUACACGGAAAGCGGCGGAAGGGAGAGUAAUACGUGGGAAUCUGCCCUUAGACCUGGGAUAGCAGCGGGAAACUGCUGGUAAUACCAGAUAAUGUCUAUGGACCAAAGGCGUGAUUCCGUCUAGGGAUGAGCCCACGUCCUAUUAGCUAGUUGGUAGGGUAAUGGCCUACCAAGGCGAUGAUGGGUAGCGGGUGUGAGAGCAUGACCCGCCUCACUGGGACUGAGACACUGCCCAGACACCUACGGGUGGCUGCAGUCGAGAAUCUUCGGCAAUGGGCGCAAGCCUGACCGAGCGAUGCCGCGUGCGGGAUGAAGGCCUUCGGGUUGUAAACCGCUGUCGAGGGGGAGCAACUUCCAUAGAGUUAUCUCUAUGGAUUGAGUGAUCCCUGGAGGAAGGACGGGCUAAGUUCGUGCCAGCCGCCGCCGUAAUAC
rnacentral:rRNA from 1 species